rnacentral:rRNA from 1 species
UACGUAGGGGCCUAGCGUUGUCCGGAUUUAUUGGGCGUAAAGAGCUCGUAGGCGGUUCGGUAAGUCAGGUGUGAAAUCUCCACGCUCAACGUGGAGGCGCCACCUGAAACUGCCGUGACUCGAGUCCGGUAGGGGAGUGUGGAAUUCCCGGUGUAGCGGUGAAAUGCGUAGAUAUCUGGAGGAAUACCGGUGGCGAAGGCGGCAUCCUGGACCGGCAUUGACGCUGAUGAGCGAAAGCUAGGGGAGCAAACGGG